UUAAGUGACUAAGCGUACAAGGUGGAUGCCUUGGCAAUCAGAGGCGAAGAAGGACGUGCUAAUCUGCGAAAAGCUUGGAUGAGUCGAUAAGAGGCGCUUAAUCCAAGAUAUCCGAAUGGGGAAACCCAGUAGAUGAAGAAUCUACUAUCAACAAGUGAAUUCAUAGCUUGUUGAGGCAAACCGGGAGAACUGAAACAUCUAAGUACCCCGAGGAAAAGAAAUCAACCGAGAUUUCGUCAGUAGCGGCGAGCGAAAGCGAAAGAGCCAGUAAGUGAUAACAGUAUGGUUAGGAGAAUGUGUUGGGAAGCACAAUCAAAGAGGGUGAUAAUCCCGUAUCUAAAAACCAUAUUGUGGUACUAAGCUAACGAGAAGUAGGGCGGGACACGUGAUAUCCUGUUUGAAGAAGGGGGGACCAUCCUCCAAGGCUAAAUACUCCUGAUUGACCGAUAGUGAACCAGUACUGUGAAGGAAAGGCGAAAAGAACCCCGGUGAGGGGAGUGAAAUAGAACCUGAAACCUUGUACGUACAAGCAGUGGGAGCCCCAUCACUUAAUCCGAUUGGAAGGUGAUGAAAAGCAACCGCACUUAAACAAUGGUAAGAGGAGCGAAGCGAGUCAAACCACCCAAAAGAAGCAGUGGGAUUAAGUGAUGGGGUGACUGCGUACCUUUUGUAUAAUGGGUCAGCGACUUAUAUUUUGUAGCGAGGUUAACUGAAUAGGGGAGCCGAAGGGAAACCGAGUCUUAACUGGGCGAGUAGUUGCAAGGUAUAGACCCGAAACCCGGUGAUCUAGCCAUGGGCAGGUUGAAGGUUGGGUAACACUAACUGGAGGACCGAACCGACUAAUGUUGAAAAAUUAGCGGAUGACUUGUGGCUGGGGGUGAAAGGCCAAUCAAACCGGGAGAUAGCUGGUUCUCCCCGAAAUCUAUUUAGGUAGAGCCUUGAGGUGACACCUUUGGGGGUAGAGCACUGUUUCGGCUAGGGGGCCAUCCCGGCUUACCAACCCGAUGCAAACUACGAAUACCAAAGAGUGAUACUCAGGAGACACACGGCGGGUGCUAACGUCCGUCGUGGAGAGGGAAACAACCCAGACCGCCAGCUAAGGUCCCCAAGUCUAUAUUAAGUGGGAAACGAAGUGGGAAGGCUUAGACAGCUAGGAUGUUGGCUUAGAAGCAGCCAUCAUUUAAAGAAAGCGUAAUAGCUCACUAGUCGAGUCGGCCUGCGCGGAAGAUGUAACGGGGCUGAAAUAUAGCACCGAAGCUGCGGCAUCAGAAUUUAUUCUGUUGGGUAGGGGAGCGUUGUGUAAGCGGAAGAAGGUUCAUCGAGAGGUGGGCUGGACGUAUCACAAGUGCGAAUGCUGACAUAAGUAACGAUAAAACGGGUGAAAAACCCGUUCGCCGGAAGACCAAGGGUUCCUGUCCAACGUUAAUCGGGGCAGGGUGAGUCGGCUCCUAAGGCGAGGCUGAAAAGCGUAGUCGAUGGGAAACAGGUUAAUAUUCCUGUACUUGGUAAAGCUGCGAUGUGGGGACGGAGUAGGUUAGGUUAUCGCACUGUUGGAUAUGUGCGUUUAAGUUGGUAGGUGGGAAGUUUAGGCAAAUCCGGGCUUCCUUAACACAGAGAGAUGAUGACGAGGCUCUACGGAGCUGAAGUAACUGAUACCACACUUCCAGGAAAAGCCACUAAGCGAAAGGCUUUACUAAACCGUACUGAAAACCGACACAGGUGGUCAGGUAGAGAAUACUCAGGCGCUUGAGAGAACUCGGGUGAAGGAACUAGGCAAAAUAGCACCGUAACUUCGGGAGAAGGUGCGCCGGCGUAGAUUGUAAGGGCUAGCCCCUGAAGGUUGAACCGGUCGAAGAUACCAGCUGGCUGCAACUGUUUAUUAAAAACACAGCACUCUGCAAACACGAAAGUGGACGUAUAGGGUGUGAUGCCUGCCCGGUGCUGGAAGGUUAAUUGAUGGUGUAAUCGCAAGAGAAGCACCUGAUCGAAGCCCCAGUAAACGGCGGCCGUAACUAUAACGGUCCUAAGGUAGCGAAAUUCCUUGUCGGGUAAGUUCCGACCUGCACGAAUGGCAUAAUGAUGGCCAGGCUGUCUCCACCCGAGACUCAGUGAAAUUGAAAUCGCCGUGAAGAUGCGGUGUACCCGCGGCUAGACGGAAAGACCCCGUGAACCUUUACUAUAGCUUGACACUGAACAUUGAAUUUUGAUGUGUAGGAUAGGUGGGAGCCUUUGAAGCAGUGACGCCAGUCAUUGUGGAGGCGACCUUGAAAUACCACCCUUUAACGUUUGAUGUUCUAACGAAGAUGACGAAACGUGGUCUCGGACAGUGUCUGGUGGGUAGUUUGACUGGGGCGGUCUCCUCCCAAAGCGUAACGGAGGAGCACGAAGGUUUGCUAAUCACGGUCGGACAUCGUGAGGUUAGUGCAAUGGUAUAAGCAAGCUUAACUGCGAGACAGACAAGUCGAGCAGGUACGAAAGUAGGUCAUAGUGAUCCGGUGGUUCUGAAUGGAAGGGCCAUCGCUCAACGGAUAAAAGGUACUCCGGGGAUAACAGGCUGAUACCGCCCAAGAGUUCAUAUCGACGGCGGUGUUUGGCACCUCGAUGUCGGCUCAUCACAUCCUGGGGCUGAAGUAGGUCCCAAGGGUAUGGCUGUUCGCCAUUUAAAGUGGUACGCGAGCUGGGUUUAGAACGUCGUGAGACAGUUCGGUCCCUAUCUGCCGUGGGCGUAGGAGAAUUGAUUGGGGCUGCUCCUAGUACGAGAGGACCGGAGUGGACGCACCACUGGUGUUCCGGUUGUGUCGCCAGACGCAUUGCCGGGUAGCUAAGUGCGGAAGAGAUAAGUGCUGAAAGCAUCUAAGCACGAAACUUGCCAAGAGAUGAGUUCUCCCAAUCUAAGAGAUUGUAAGGGUUGUUGUAGACUACGACGUAGAUAGGUCUGGUGUGUAAGUGUAGUGAUAUAUUGAGCUAACAGAUACUAAUUGCCCGAGAGGCUUAACUAU
rnacentral:rRNA from 1 species